AUGGGGCCUUCACGAGCUCUCCCGUGCCUGGUCCUCCUCUUCCUUCUCUCCUCAUCCAGAGCUUCCGUCUUAGAAGAUACGUGCAAAUCCUUCGCCGACGGCAACCCGGGCGUCGGCUACGACUAUUGCAUCAAGUUUUUCCAGGCGAGCAAGGACAGUGCCACCGCCGACAAGCGUGGCUUGGCUAUCAUCGCAUCAAAGCUCACCGGAGCGGCAGCCAAGAGCAUAGGCAAGCACAUCCAAGCCCUCAAGGCCUCGGAGAAGGACAAGCACAUCCAGUCGGGCCUCAAUGACUGCCGUGAUUUGUACUCGCAAGCUGUGGACUUGCUCGACGUGGCAGCGAAAGGCGUCGCGGCGGGUACACCGCGAGGCAAACUAGACGCAGUGGCGAACCUCAGCGGCGCACUGGUCAGCCCCCAAACCUGCGAGGACGGUUUCAGCGAAUUGGGCGUGAAGUCGCCGCUCUCCGCCGAGGACUCCGAGUUCACUAAGGAGGUCUCCAUCGCACUCGUUAUAACGAACUCGUUAUGA
rnacentral:rRNA from 1 species